UAUUUAUCGUUGCUAUCCCUGUAACGAGGAUGUAUCCUGAAAAAAACAUGUUUCGAUCAUUUACUCAUUCCAGACGCGUGAAAUCAUACGAAUAACCUUCAAUACGGAAAAGAGUUAUUCUUGCGAUCGGACAGAUUAGCACAGAUUUGUGAGGAAUACAUAUAGUAUCUGUUACUAUAAGCAGAGGAGAUCGAGGAGGAUCAACAUUGCUGUGCUUCUUUAUGCCCAGCUUUCCAGCAUUUUUGAAAUCUUGUGGCGGGGAUACCAGUGUGGUAUACAUGUAACUUUGAGUAGAAGCUUUGAGAGCUAGCGGAAGUUAGAAUCAUGGGAGGGUGUUCAUCUAAGGAUGGGACAGUGAGCCAAGGUGAUGUAAGAGUCACCACAGGUGGUGGUGCUGCAGGUGGUGGUGGUGCUGGUGGUGCUGGUGGGGCUAAUGGGACUGGUGCUGGCCCUAAGGCAACCCCUAAGCCAGCCAAGCCCUUAGAAGUGGAGUCUGUCGUGUGUAAGGUGGAUGACAUGAAGGAUGGAGAGAUGAGAGAGGUGGAUGUGGGAAAAGGAAAAGCUCUUCUUGUCAAAGAACUAGGAGAGUUCAGUGCAAUUGGACACAAAUGUACUCACUAUGGUGCACCUCUGGUUAAAGGUGCAUUAUGUAAUGGUCGUGUGAGAUGUCCAUGGCAUGGUGCAUGUUUCAGUACUAAGACGGGGGAUAUAGAAGACUUCCCAGGAUUGGACAGUGUCCCAAAGUUUGAGGUUAGGAUAGAAGGAGAUAAAGUCAUCGUCGGUGGAAACUCAAAGGACUUCGCCUCUCACAAGAGAGUAAAGACGAUGUGUAUCGGAUCACCCGAUGAUGACAAGACAGCCCUCAUCAUAGGUGGAGGUGCAGCAUCAGUCACAUGUGCUGAAUCGUUACGACAAGAAGGAUUCAAAGGUCAGGUUAUCAUAGCAACCAAAGAGAAACAUCUUCCUUAUGAUAGACCCAAACUCAGCAAGGCGAUGGACUCCAAACCUGAAUCUCUAGCACUCCGGAAUGCAGACUUCUUCACCAUCUACGACAUCAACGUCAUGACAGAGAAGGAAGCCACAUCCAUAGACACUGUCCUCAACUCAGUCUCCUUCCUAGACGGAGAGAACGUCUCAUUUGACUACCUCGUCAUUGCUACGGGCGGCAAACCUAGAUCACUCAAUGUACCAGGGAGUGACCUUGAUGGAGUAUGCUUAUUACGUAGUCCUGAAGAUGGAAACAGCAUAGCGGAGAAGGGACAGGGAAAGAAUGUUGUCAUCGUUGGAACUUCAUUCAUUGGUAUGGAAGUAGCAGCUUACUUAUCAGAUAAAUCAGCCAGUAUCACCGUCAUAGGGAGAGGAUCAGCUCCAUACAAAGCUUCACUAGGAGAGAAAGUAGGCAUGGCAUUACAAAAGCUUGCUGAAUCUAAAGGAGUCAGGUUUGUGAUGGAUAGCGGUGUGUCAGAGUUCAAAGGUGAAGAUGGCAAGCUCAAGAAGGUCAUCCUGAAGAAUGGCCAGACGAUAGCUGCGGAGGUCUGUGUCCUCGGAGUAGGUGUUACCCCGGCAACGGACUUCCUGAGUGAUAGCGGUCUGAAGAUGACGGAUCAUGGAGCAGUGUGUGUGGACAAGUACAUGAAGACAAACAAGUCUAACAUCUAUGCAGCUGGAGACAUUGCAUCGUUUCCUUUAGCAAUGGCUGACAACAGAGAGGUCAACAUAGGUCACUGGCAAAUAGCUCAUGGACAUGGUCGUGUGGCAGCCCUCAAUAUUCUUGGACAGAAGGUCGAGAUGGAGACGGUACCAUUUUUCUGGACCCAGAUUUUUGGCAAAAGUGUCAGAUAUGCAGGAUUCAAUGAAGGAUUUGAGGAUGUUAUUGUUACAGGUGAUCUAAAUGAACUCAAGUUUGUAGCUUAUUACAUCAAGGACGAGACUGUGGUAGCCAUGGCUAGUAUGAACUCUGACCCCAUCGUGUCACAGUUUGCCGAGCUGCUAGCAAGUGGAAGGGAGCUGAGUAAAUCAGAAAUACAGUCUGAUCCAAGUCAAUGGUCAAGCAAGUUAUGAAGUCCCACCAGUCUAUUAAAGACUCUCAGCCUUUAUGCUGCUACAUAACAUACCGUUACCAUCAAGACCACCGAGUCGUCAGUCAACUGAUCAUCGGAGCCAAUCAGCGAUGAGCAUUAUCAUCAAUCUGAGUGCCAAGCAAUGAGAGACCAUUAAUAUACAGCUUCUUUUUCUUUAAGAAUCCAUGUCAACUCAUAACUUAUGUUUACAAAUUUAUAUAUCUGUAAAAAGCCUUUCUGUGAUCAUUCAUCUUUGCAGUAAAAACACAACCCCAGAACAAUUUUCUUUGGAAGCCCUGAAUUUUUAAAGCAAUUUCUUUGUUAGUGAAAUCUUAUCUGUAAUCUAAAGAAGAAAUCUGUACUACAAACAUUGUAUUUUGAACAGGAAACUUUUUUCCAUACUUAUUGGCUUAAAUACAUGAAAGAGGUUCAAUUUUCACCGUGGUCUGAAUCAUUUCUUAUGAAGAUUUAAAACCAUGAAUUAGGAUCAACCUCCAUCCUAUGUUUACUUUUUUUCUCUCUUUGAUGUUCUGGUGGUUCUAUUGCUGAAUUUCAUAAAUUUGUACAGCCACAAGACUGAUCAAUGGCAGUGACAUUGCCUUAGAUGUGAUCUCCUGUAAAGCAUGGCAUUGUUUCAAAUCUAAAUCCCACAAGGCAAUGGAAGCUGAUACAGCAUUAUUUUGGUUCACUGUAAUGACUGUAUGUUUGAUUUGAAAUUGCAAUUUCAAACCUCAGAUCAUAAUAUUCAGCCGUUUACAACUAGCCAUAUUGAAUUGAGAUCAUGACACAUAAACCCUCAUUAUGCUUUGAUGUGUAACAAAUAAAUGUAUGUAUAUUUUAUAUGUUUUAUUGUAAUAUGUUUGAUAAAGGUCUGCCAUGUUUGAUUUUUUACUGUUCCUAAAAAAAACAAGUAACUUGGACUCACUUAGUACUACCGUAACCCUUUGUUUUUUUCCAUGAAUAGAGGCAAUUGUAAAAUGAAGAGGUCAACUAUUGAUUCUACACGACAUUGUUGAGAUACUAUAGGAUAUCAAAAUAUAACCUUGAUUAUAGCCAGUUCAACGUGAUCCACCGCAGUACUUUGUUUAUAUUCAUUGUACAAGUGGGUAGAAGUGAGAAAGCAACUAAAACAAAA
rnacentral:lncRNA from 1 species